AUCGAGACUAGAGUCACAUCUUAACAUGUUGAUUGUUUUGGUGUGCUAUAGUUCUCGGACAUAAACUUCUGAUACCUAUUCGCUGGCUGCGAUGUCUCGUAUCUCAGUCAGCCACCGAAUCAGUGACACGA
rnacentral:snoRNA from 1 species